rnacentral:rRNA from 1 species
UACGUAGGGGGCAAGCGUUGUCCGGAAUCAUUGGGCGUAAAGCGCGCGUAGGCGGCCCUGUAAGUCCGUUGUGAAAGUCAAAGGCUCAACCUUUGAAAGCCGAUGGAUACUGCAGGGCUAGAGUCCGGAAGAGGCGAGUGGAAUUCCUGGUGUAGCGGUGGAAUGCGCAGAUAUCAGGAGGAACACCAGUGGCGAAGGCGGCCACCUGGCUUGGUAUUGACGCUGAGGCGCGAAAGCGUGGGGAUCAAACAGG